UACGUAGGGUGCAAGCGUUAAUCGGAAUUACUGGGCGUAAAGCGUGCGCAGGCGGUUGUGCAAGACAGAUGUGAAAUCCCCGGGCUUAACCUGGGAACUGCAUUUGUGACUGCACGGCUAGGGUGUGUCAGAGGGGGGUAGAAUUCCACGUGUAGCAGUGAAAUGCGUAGAUAUGUGGAGGAAUACCGAUGGCGAAGGCAGCCCCCUGGGAUAACACUGACGCUCAUGCACGAAAGCGUGGGGAGCAAACAGG
rnacentral:rRNA from 1 species